CACUCUUCUGUUGACUUGUCCAAAAAUGAAACUAAAACGCGCGCUCGUCCUCAUUUCUCCUCCCCGUCCGUUCGCCGUGGCUCGCCGCGCCGGCGUCCGUUGCCGGCGCCGAUAGUGGCUUACACCUAAACACCACCACCAUUGGAUGCGCAAAAUCAAUCUGAGCAUGAAUAUGGCAAUGGAAUUACGAAACAGUUCCUGUACCGGUUGAAUCGAACAACUAAACGGAAGAGCCCUAACGGCCUACACGUUAAAUUAAAUUGUUCCUGUUGCAAAUCACUUCCUAAUACUAUGGGGCUUCAAUUUCCUACCUCAGAUACUACAGCUCGGUGUUCUCAAAGUAAGAAAAUGUCAUUGAAUAAGAAAUGACAUACCAGAGAAGAUGAUCGGAAAGUUCGCCGGUUUGCCGAGUUUGGAAUUCCGCACGAAAUUACAUUGGCCACUGGUUGAUGUUAACAUCUGGUGUUUUCUAUUCCAUCCACAGCGACAAGUCUGCAUCCAUUCACGGUUGACAAGGAUAAGGUGCACUCUGCUGUAAGCGGCACGAAUUGGUGCGAGCUCCAAAACCUGGUGCUACAAGGCUUCACUUGGUCUAUGCUUCUGUUUCGGCACGAUGACGCAACAUGUUCGGUUACAUCAUAAUGCUAGUUCAGGAUCUUUCCAUCAAGGUCAAGAGAGAACAAACCCGAAUGACAAAUCUUGAAUUGCUUCAUUGGCAGCAGUAACCGUGUUGUCGGGACAGAAGCUGCUAUUUGGACUUGGUAAUGAUGUGAUGAGGACUAAAACUGCCAUUUGCACUGUUAUGUUUGUAAGAUGCAGGCUGACUACGUCCUCGGAACGAAUGCGUAUAAUGACGCGAGCAAAACUGAACAUGUUGACCAUGUUCACAUUUAGACGGAACCGGCUGCCAAAGUAAGGUUUGCAUAACAUAAAUAUCACCUUUUGCUAUCUGUUCCUUUGUGAGAAAAGUGGCUAAUACAUCCUCAAUCUGCUCCACAUCCAAAUGUCAUGUAUGAUCGUUUCAUUAGGUGAUAGUGAUGUUUGAGCACACUAGUCAUGGCUAUGCCUCAUUGUUUUAAGGGGCGGUAAUCUUAUCAAUUCUGUUAGGAAAUCGCCCUGCUGUUGCAGUACUGGUUGUUAACAUAUGCAGGUCGGAAACCAUCAAGCUGCCGAGGACAACUCUUCCGAAUGGACCAGCCAACUUGAUAUUCCUUAGCAACAUGAUCAACUCGUGUGCCUCUGGUUUUGGAUUUUUGUCUGGAUGGCGGAUGUUGGCUGCCAGUCACUUGGAGCUGGCUCGGAUGGUGCGCGGUGUGGUUUCAAACCUCUUUCGCUUGGCCACGUUUAAUGUUGGUUUGAUGCGGUAUUGGAAACAUGAAGGGAUUGAAUCUAAGGUCUGCUAAAUGACCUUCAUAUGCCCUUCCUUUGAAGAAACAUAAAUCGCCUGCAAAUCCACUAAAGGGCCUUAGCGGUUUCAACAGGACAUGGUCUUCUAGCAUGGCGUGAAGAAGUGUGCAUCCGGAUUGUGUUCGAGCCGGCAUGGUUGGUUAUGGACUUAUGGAGUUUAAAUUGUAAAUCACAUUACACUUUGAAUGUCAGCUUGUGGUUGAAAAUAAAUAAAUAAAUUGUAAUUUGCUUGAACAUUGUAACCUAUGGUUGGGAUUAUAAUAGAUUGAAAUUUGGAGAA